rnacentral:rRNA from 1 species
CGACCCCAGGUCAGGCGGGGUUACCCGCUGAUUU